rnacentral:rRNA from 1 species
AUGGCGAACCUCCUCUCCUCGGCCCCGACCCACGCGACGCUCCCGGACUGCUUCGUCUUCCCGCCCGAUCAGCGCCCGCCGGCCUCCUCUCAGGCUGUCUCCCUCCCGGUCAUCGACCUCUCUCGCGGCCGCGACGAGGUCCGCCGCGCCGUCCUCGACGCCGGCAAGGAGCUCGGGUUCUUCCAGGUGGUCAACCACGGCGUCUCUCCGGAGGCGAUACGGGACAUGGAAGCGGUGUGCGCGGAGUUCUUCCGGCUCCCUGCGGAGGACAAGGUGGGCUUCUACUCGGAGGACACGGACAAGCCCAACCGGCUCUUCUCCAGCACCACCUACGAGCUCGGCGGGGAGAAGUACUGGCGGGACUGCCUCCGCCUCUCUUGCGGCUCGCCCGUCGGCGACACCAAGAACAACUGGCCCGACAAACCCCAAAAGCUCCGCGAGGUGGUGGAGAAGUUCGUGGGGCCCACAAGAGGCGUGGGGAUGGAGCUGCUGCGGCUGCUGUGCGAGGGGAUGGGGCUCCGGCCGGACUACUUCGAAGGGGACCUCACCGGCGGCGACGUGAUCAUCAACGUUAACCACUACCCGCCGUGCCCUGCCCCUGGCCUGACGCUGGGCCUGCCGCCCCACUGCGACCGGAACCUCAUCACUCUCCUGCUCCAGAGCACCGUGCCCGGCCUCCAGGUCUCCUACAAGGGCGACUGGAUCAAUGUCGAGUCCGCCGUGCCCAACGCCUUCGUGGUCAACUUCGGCCACCUGCUCGAGAUUGCGACCAACGGGGUUCUGAAGAGCAUCGAGCACCGGGCGAUGACCAACGCCGCGCUGGCACGGACGUCGGUGGCGACGUUUAUCAUGCCGGCCGCGGACAUCCCCAUCGGCCCAGCGGAGGAGCUCCUGGGCGAGGGCAACCCGCCGCGCUACCGCACUGUCACUUUCGACGAGUUCAUGCGCGUGUACAAGACCGUCGGCGCGCGGAGGGAGAGCGUGGAGAAGGCCUUCAAGCUUUAG